rnacentral:lncRNA from 1 species
CUUCCCUGUCUUGUUCCUGGGCGCAGAGGGCUCCUCCGGCGCCGCCGAGCUGCGCCCGCUGCCUUCACACCCCGGACAUCCGCGCCACACGUGAGUGUCCCCGCACCCCUCCCCCAGGACCGUGGAAGUCCCAGAUUCGGGCCUGCUCUGGGGCUUCUGGGGUCCCCAGCCUCGGUCACUCUGACGGGUGAAGGGAAGAAGAAAUGAUGGAGAAAACGGUGCUCCUUCAUGGAGGGACCAAAAAAGGACAUACAAUCUAUGUCAAUAGAUGAGGGUUUUCCCUCCAUAAGUUUAACUUUAAAAGUGUAUUUAAGGUGCCGGGCGCAGUGGCUCACACCUGUAAUCUCAGCACUUUGAGAGGCCGAGGCAGGCGGAUUGCCUGAGCUCAGGAGUUCCAGACCAGCCUGGGUAACACGGUGAAACCCCGUCUCUACUAAAAUACAAAAAAUUAGCCGGGCGUGGCAGCGUGCGCCUGUAAUCCCAGCUACUCGGGAGGUGGAGGCAGGAAAAUUGCUUGAACCUGGGAGGCAGAGGUUUCAGUGAGCCAAGAUUGCGCCACUGCACUCCAGCCCGGGUGACAGAGUGACACUCCGUCUCAAAAACAAACAAACAAAACAAAACUGUAAGGAAUCAAAUGUUACAAAAUCCUGGAAGAUUUUGGUAAUGCUGUUGAUAAUUUCAGGGAAAUUAAUGAAGUACAUGUAAGUGCUUGAUUUAAAUGUGUAUUUUAUUCAAUAGUUUGAGUAUCUUGCCAUGGAAGAUACUAGCCCAGCCUAGCAGAAAAGUGCAAUAUGUAUAAUAUACUUUCGCAUUUUAAAAGUUAUAUUCCCUAUCCAUUUUGAAAUGCUAGCCAAACUACAUGAAGUUAUUUGCAAUUAAUUGUAAGCUAAUCAGGAAUUUUGAAAGCUUGAUUGGAUUAACAAACUAUAAUGUUGAAAUUUGGUAAAAUCAUAAUGUUAAUUUUUACUGUGAAACGUUUUCUUGUAAGAUAGAUAUACACAUCCUAGUUUAAUUUUGUGUCUUAGUGUGGAUUUACAAAUUUACUACAGUUAUUCUGAGCCCAGGAACCCAAUCAGAUUUCAGGCCAGUUUGAUACUGGCUGUUCUUAAUUCUAACAGGAGAGUAGGACAUCAUACUAAAUGUUAUGUCAGUGGGACUGUGUUGUCUUUGGAGCUUAGUAAAUUAAUCAUUUUCUUCAGACUUUAAGGAGAGUGAUAAAUAAAAUUUGGAGUCAUAGGAUAUAGAUGUACAAUUUAAAGAUUAAACAUUUUUUUUUUUUUUGAGAUGGAGUUUUGCUCUUGUUGCCCAGGCUGGAAUGCAGUGGCAUGACCUGGACUCACUGCAAACUCCACCUCCCGGGUUAAAGCAAUUCUCCUGCCUCAGCCUCCCAAGUGGCUGGGAUUACAGGCAUGUGCCACCACAGCUGGCUAAUUUUGUAUUUUUAGUAGAGACAGGGUUUCUCCAUGUUGGCCAGGCUGCUCUUGAACUCCUGAUUUUGUGAUCCACCCGCCUUGGCCUCCCAAAGUGCUGUGAUUACAGGCGUGAGCCACCUUGCCUGGCCAAGAUUAAACAUUUUUCAUCAAUUGUGGAUGGUGGCUUAUAACACUGCAAGAAUAGGCUGGGCAUGGUGACUCACAAGUGUAAUCCCAGCACUUUGGGAGGCAGAGGCGGGCAGAUCACAAGGUCAGGAGGUCAAGACCAGCCCAGCCAACAUAGCAAAACCCGGUCUCUACUAAAAAUACGAAAAUUAGGUGGGCAUGGUGGCAUGCGCCUCUAAUACCAGCUACUCAGGAGGCUGAGGCAGGAGAACUGCCUGAACCCAGAAGGCGAAAGUUGCAGUGAGCUGAGACUGCACCACUGCACUCCGGCCUGCAAGAAUAAAAGUAAGUUAUCCAAAAAAAAAACAAAAAGGAGAAGAAAAGGGAGGAAUGAAGGAGAGAGAUGGGGUUGGGGGGCAGAGAUGAGAGAGAGAGAAAGAAGAAAAAAGAAGAAAGAAAAGAGAGAAAGAAGGAAGGAAGAAAGAAAGAAGGAAAGAGAAAGAAAGAAAGAGGAAGGAAGGCAGGAAAGAAAAGAAAGAAAGUGAAAGAAAAGAGAAAACGGUGCUCCCAGCAAAGGGUACGACCUCAAGAUCUGGAGGUCAGACCUGUGCCCUCACGCUCUGCUGGGCUCUGAGUCCUGGAGACGUCGAUGAGGAAAUCAGAGGGACAAACAGAGCUGGGGACGGCGGGGAUGGGGAGAAGGACACAUCAGCCGUGCGCCUGCGGGACCGGGGCCGGGGCGGGGGGUCCAGUAUGACGACUGACAUGGCCAGUAAUAAAACAAGGCAGCCACAGAGCUGCAGGGAUCUGAACAAGAAAACCUGGGGCCAGCCUCCCUGCUGCCGACCACCACGCUACACGUGACCUACGGGCUUGCGUCCGUGGGAAAUAAGCCGAAAUUCCAGGCGUCCCCAGACCCUCGACCACCGAUCGCCUGCUCCCCGCCGGGGUAGGCGAUGGGGGCUGAACCAAGGCCCAGAGCGCCGCCGUCGGACGCCCAAGGAAAGAGGGGAAAGACAGGAGGCCCCGAGGGGCACUGAACCCGCGCCCGCCCUCGCUGGUGCCCCGCCAGCUCACCGUCCACGUGCAGCUCCAAGCGCUCGCUGGGCGCGGAGCCCCCGAAAGGCGGCUUCAGGUCCACGUAGACGCAGCUGUAGUUGGCGGAGUCAGCCACGGAAAUGUUGUGCAGCUCGAAGAGCGCCUCGGUCCCAGCGGGGCUCUGGAAACGGUGCACGCGGCGCCCGCCCCUGUCCUCGCGCACCAGGGCGAAGCGCGCGCCCUCCAGGGGCGCCAGGCACCGCAGCCGCAAGGCCCUGCCGGACUCCGGCUCCGGGGAGAACUCCGGCGCGGGCAGCGUCUCUGCGGAGCAGCACACGGGCUGACCCGGGCGCCCAGCGGCUGGCUCGGCCCUAACGCGUGGUCUGGCCUCGCGCUCUUUGCCUUGGCUGAGUCUUCUGCCCGCAAUGACCUGGCCAGCUUCCUCCCUCGCCUCCUCCGGGCCCGCCCCACCUUUGCAUCCCAGUCCUUGGAUAUCUCACACGCACCCUUUCACUGUUUCUUAGUAAUUUGUUUGUCUACAGACACAGACGGGAAGCGGGGACGGGGACAUGUUUUGUGCAUGGCUUGAUGCCUGGUGCACGAUGCCGCUCAGUAGUGGAUUUGCUCCACGAGCGUCUUCUGAGCACCGCCCCAAUGCCCGCCCCACGGAGGGGCCCCUGUGGUCCGCUGGGCAUGGGGUUCGCUGUCCGGUGCUCAGAGUUUGCUAAAUACCAUCAGGUCCAAGGCAAGCGAGCGGAGGAGCUGCCUCAGCAGAGGCCCUCAGUGCUCACCUAGACCUGGCAGCUGGGAUGGGACCUGCCAGGUGGUGCCCCCUGUGGCCUGGGCCAGACCUGUUCACCCAGUUAUUCCCUGUGGGGCCUGAAGGUUGUCACGCUCAUCAUCAUAUUUGCAGUUUAGGACCCUGAAUCGGCGGGUGGGCGGAUAAAGUUGGUAUUGGACCCUGGCCCAGAGCACUGCACUUCCCCAGACUCUACACCUGGUACUGCUCCUGCUCCCCAGGGACCCAGCCGCGUCCCUGUCCCUGCUGGCCCCGGCUCACCAUCGCUCAGAAUCAGCUCGACCGGCGCGCUGUCCCCGGACCAGCCGUUUUGGUUGUCAUGCAGCCGGUAGCGGCAGGUGUAGUGACCUCCAUCCCCCAGGGCCACCGCGUUCAGGUGAAAGAAGAUGCGAUCUGGGCUGGUGCUGCUCCUGGGUACCAGCAGCUCUUUCUCCCCGCGCCGUAGCUGGAAGUCCACUCCACUCAGGGGAGCCACGCAGGUGAGGGUCACCUUGUUGCCAGGGUGCAGGACCUGGGAGGACUCUCCAUGGUGCAUCAGCACAGGCGGUGGUGGUGCAGCUGCAAUGCAGGCAGCAUUACUAGGCUGCCCCAUCCCUGGAGCUGCCCUCUGCCCAGUCCCCAGACCUCUGCCCUCCGGGUGGCAAUCCCAGGAACACCCUUCCAUUCUUUUUUUUUUUUUUUUUUGAAACGGAGUUUCGCUCUUGUUGCCCAGGCUGGAGUGCAGUGGCGCCACUCAGCUCACUGCAAGCUCUGCCUCCCAGGUUCAAGGGAUUCUCCUGCCUCAGCCUCCUGAGUAGCUGGUACUACAGGCACCUGCCACCACACCUGGCUAAUUUUUGUAUUUUUAGUAGAGACGGGGUUUCGUCAUGUUGGGUAGACUGGUCUCGAUCUCUUGACCUCAUGAUCCGCUGGCCUCAGCCUCCCAAAGUGCUGGGAUUAUAGGCGUGAGCCACCGCACCCGGCCUCACCCUUCCAUUCUUUGGGCAUCCUCUGCCCAAACUCCUUUGCAACCAUCAGACCCAGGCAACCGUGUGGCCAGCUUCCUGGACCUGGUCCUGGGCAAGGACAUUCAGCAUGGAGGUCAGGAUGAAUGUGGUCAUGCCCCCUGUAUCCUCCUCCCCCAGCAGCCCCCAGAGAUGGUUCCCACAGUCACCGAGCUCCUCAAUGGUCACAGUAGCGCUGGGCUCAGAGAGGGCGCCUUCCCCAUCGGUCCGGUAGCUGCAGCUGUAGUUGCCAGGCUGAUGGACUGGAAAGGUGGCCUCCACAUCCUCCUGGGCCUCAGGCACCUCCAGAAACUCAUGGUCGCCCUCCCGCCUCAGCAGAAAAGUCACACCCCGCAGCACACCUCGGCACACUGCUGUUGUUUUCAGGCCGGGGGUGAUCCAGGACACUGGCGCCAUCGAGAGCCAGGGAGCAGGCAAGGACUCUGUGGGUGGGGUGGAGUUGAAGAGUGCUUCUGCAUAACAGGAGACGUGGGAAGCCCAGCAGAACCUGGGCCCCACACUCAUAAGACUGUGAAGGAGACAGGGAUGGAGGGCAUUGCUGGGAAAAGGCAGGCAGGCACCAGUGGAAACAAGGCAUACGGCAAGAGAAAAAGAGUGUGUGGGAGCUGUACGGCAUGCCGGGCCUGCUGGGGACACAACCAUGUAUUCCUUACAACACAGACAUCAUCCCCAUUUGACAGAUGGGAAGAUUGGGGCUUGGGGCUCAGAGACAUCGGGUGACUUGGAGGAAGGGAGACCCCCCAGUCAACAACCUACCCACUGCCUCCUGGCCCCCAAUUCAUGCCCCGGCUCACUUGGCCCUGUCAGCUCCAGGAGCUUGCUCAGCUGGGUCCAUCCUGUGGACAAGCCCGAGCGGCAGCGGUAGCGGCCCUGGGUGUCACCCGUCAGCAGGAACUGGUGCUUGAUGGCAGGUGAGUCAAGGUGCACAGGCUCCUGGGCCACCCCAUUCUUGAACAGCUGGAAGUCUGGAGUCUCCAGGUGGGCCUGGCACGUCAGCGUCACAUUGGCCAAGGGUUUCAGCAGUGAUUCGGACUCUGCCCACAGGCUGGGCUGCGUCUCAUAAACUGCAAGGGGUGGCUGGGAUCAGCUCAGUGCCACAGAGACAGGGCUCCCCCCCGGCCUGGGCCCACCAUUCCCAGACCUCACCCCUGCACUCACAUAUGGCUGCUUCUGUCACUGGGCCCCAGGUGACACCUGCGGAGACAGCCCCCGUAAGGCUCCUGUUCCCGCCCCCUCCCGCCCCAGGGACCCAGACCCCAGGAGGCCUCACCCCACAGCAAGAGAAAGACCACGAGCAUGGACAUGAUGGUCGCGCUCACUCCGGUGCAGUGAGUGUCUGGGUGAUGGAUCCUAGAACCUGUUCUAGAAGGAGACGCUGAGUUCUCCCCACUCUACCUGGAGCUGCUGAGGUCAAGUGGAGAGUGCCGGGGCUGAAGCCCAGCGAGCCCCUCCCUGUCACACCACACUGCACAUGUGACACCAAAGGUGGGGUUCACCUCUUUUCAGACUUUCUGCGGUUGCCCUCACAUGGGCUGUCUGGAGGUGCACCCUCACUCUUCCUGAGGACUGUGGUUCCUUCUCCAUCACUGGUUCAUUCUGCAUGGUGUGACCCACCACGGCUCUGGAGUCGGAUUUCCACCCAGGUCAUUCAGCUGAGACCUGCGCUUCCCAGGCCUACCCGUGACAUGUGCUCAGUUACCUGAGCUGCUGGUGGUCACUCAUGUGGCUAUAGCCUGCUGCCUGGAGGCCAGGCCUCCCGCUUCCCCUGCCUCCCCCUCUCCUCACCACAGCCUGUUGGGAUGGAACAGGACAGGGGUGAGACCGUGGUGCUUUCACACUCAGCCUCCAUGGACAUCCUGUCAUUCCCACCCGGGGAGGUCUGGUCCCCACCCUGGGUGUCCCAGCCUAGCUCCGCUACGAGUGUGAGGGCCCAGGGCAACCGCCUAGCCCUCAUCUGCCCCCUGCACUGCAUCCUCCCCACUCAUUCAUUCCACAGGCAUUUAUUGAGCAUCUACUGUGUGCCAGAUGCAAAGAAGACAGUGGGAUAACUGGGCAAGGAGCAUUCCAGGCAGAGGGAACAGCCAGUGCAAACAUGGGAGAUGCGGGUGCAGUGAGAAGGAGCAGAGGAGACCAGGAGUUGAGGCGACUGCAGAGCGAUUGCAGAGCUCAUAGACGUGAUGAAGACCAGCUGGGCACUGCAGCGGCUCUGGCUUCUGCUGUGAGGGACGGGGAGCUGUGGAGACUCCCUCUGUUUGGUCCCAUUUCCAUAUUGCUGAGCACCUGCUGCAUGCUCUCUGUCCUGCUCAGAGCCAGUACCUGGAUGGAGGCUGUGUGUUCUGGGUGGACUGGGGGAGAAUGCAUUCUUUGCAGAAGAGACAACCAGGUGCUGAGGCCUGAAGUCAUAACCAGACCUGGGGCACUCAGACAAGGACUGGUGGCCAGGCCAGAGGAGCAGAGCUCAGGGUGUGCACAGAACUCAGAAGUCAGACCACUGAACAGUGACAGAACCUUUCAGCCCAUUGGCAAUGAGGCUGCCCAGGCAGCCAGAGGCCUGGUCAAAUCUGAGGUCUGCAGAGAUGGAGCUGUCAUUCUGUGUUUCCUUUGGCAGUCCCAACACCAGCCUCGUUGCACCCUCCUCUUAGCUUCCCUGGGUUCUCCAGCCCUAAGGGUGGUAGCAGCUUCCUGCAAGUAUCCAGCUCUGAGAUUCUGCAACAUCCACUUUUGCUCUCUGAGCCUUGCAAAACCUGCACAAUCAGUCCCUAACUUAUAUCCCCUCUGUUUGAAAUACCUAGUGUGGUUUCUAUUUCCUGACUUGACUCUGACUGGUGUGGUACUUGGUAUAAAGAAGGUUCCCUGGCCAGGUGCGGUGGCUCACGCCUAUAAUCCCAACGCUUUGGGAGGCUGAGGCAGGAGGAUCACUUGAGCCCAGGAGUUUUGAGACCCGCCUAGGCAACAUGGUGAGACACUGUCCUUACAAAAAAUUUUAAAAUUAGCCAGGUGUAGUGACGCAAGUCUGUCAUCCCAGCUGCUUGGGAGGCUGAGGUGGGAGGAUCACCUGAGCCUAAGAAGUCGCGGCUGCAAUAAACAGUGAUUGCACCACUGCACUCCAGCCUGGGUGACAGAGUGAAACCCUGCCCCCUCCCCCAAAAAAGAAAAGUCCCAUGAAACAGACCUACACAGGUGAGAUUCUGAGAUUGAUCUGGUUCUGACCUCGGUCAGGAAUGCAGUGCUGAGCUUCUUGCCAACAGAAUAUGAGACACUAGAAAGCCAUAGCAUGCGGUUUCAUCAUGUUUAACUGUCACCUGUGGUUGCCUGAGAUGAAGUGCUGACUGAAGCGAGCACCUUAGGAGACACAGUGGCCACUGCACUGAGCAGCUGGUAGCAGCAGUGGUGACCAUGUGGACUGGGGGGUGGGUUGGCUGCUUUUGACAGUGCCAGAGAACUCAAAGAAAUAGCCACACCUGUCGGAGACCCCAGUUCUUGCCCACCUCUGCAUGGACGAACCUCUCGCCGAAGUGGAGCCUGCCGCCCUCCCUGGGGUAAGAGCCCAUCCUACAUGUCCCCAGACAGGCCUGGGUGGCCGGUGGACUAUCGUCAAAGGGACUGUGCAGCCAGGGUUCUCCACACCCAAGGCCGCCCCUGCACUCCCAGCAGGAGGGCGCCCGCACCGGCGGCCCGAAAAAGUCUGGGCCAGCAGACAGCGCACUCACGCCCGAGACCCCGCAAUGCCGUGUGUCCGCGACCUCCCGCUCAGGGCGUCCUCGGGUCAGGGCGCAGCGCGGCCCCCGUGCCGCUUCUGGUGCUCGUUGAGGUUGCAACGGUGGCUGAAAGGCUUCCCGCACUCGCCGCAAGCGUAGGGCCUCUCGCCCGUGUGCGUGCGCCGGUGGCUUAAGAGCUCCGACUUGCGCACGAAGGCCUUGCUGCAGUGGGCGCAGACGAACGGCCUCUCGCCAGAGUGCAGGCGCUGGUGCUGGCGCAGCUCGGAGCUGCCGCGGAAGGCCUUGCCGCAUUCUGCGCAGGCGAAGGGUCGCUCUCCCGUGUGCGAAAGCCGGUGGUGCGCCAGGCCGGAACUGCCGCGGAAGGCCUUGCCGCAGUCGGCGCAGGCGAAGGGCUUGGCGCCCGAGUGCGUGCGCCGGUGGCUCAGUAGGUUGGAGCGCUGGCUGAAGGCCUUGCCGCACUGGGCGCACGCAUGAGGCUUCUCGCCCGUGUGCACGCGCCGGUGCUCCGCCAGGUAGGAGCCCAUGACGAAAGCCUGGCCGCACUCGGCGCACUCGAAGGGCCGCUCACCAGUGUGCGUGCGCUGGUGCUGCAGGAGCUGCGAGCUCUCGCGGAAAGCCUUUCCGCACUCGGCGCAGGGGAAGGGCUUCUCGCUGCUGUGCGUGCGCCGGUGCUGCCGCAGCCCCGCCACACGCACGAAGGCCUUGCCGCAGUCGGGACAGGCGUGUGGCCGUGCGCCCGCGUGGAUCUUCAGGUGCUCGGCCAGGUUGGAGCUCUGGCUGAAGGCCUUGCCACAGUCCCGGCAGGCGUGCGGCCGCGCGCCCGUGUGCACGCGCCGGUGCUCCAGGAAAUUGGAGUUCCAGCUGAAGGCCUUGCCGCACUCCGGGCACUCGUAGGGCUUCUCGCCCGUGUGCGUGCGUCGGUGCUGCACCAGCGUGGUGCUUCGGCCGAAGGACUUGCCGCAGUCCGGGCAGCGGAAGGGCUUCAGGCCGCUGUGUGUCUCCUGGUGGUGGAUGAGCUGCGAGUGCGCGCGGAAGGCCUUGCCGCACUCCCUGCAAGCGUAGGGCUUCUCGCCGCUGUGGAUGCGCUGGUGCUGGCUGAGGUUGGAGCUCCAGGCGAAGGCCUUGCCGCACUCGGGGCACGUGUACGGCUUCUCGCCUGUGUGCACGCGCCGAUGCUGCAGCAAGUAAGAGCCCUGGCUGAACGCCUUGCCGCACUCCCCGCACCGGCAGCCCGGCUCCUCUGGGAGAGGCGAAGGGCGCAACGCCCGGUCUGCAGGCUCGCUCCUGGGCCCAGCCCCGUCCCGCCCACCGUCUGCGGGGCCCAGCUCCCUGCCGGGGCCUCCCUGUUCGUCCGCCGCCCCCAGUGUGGCUUGCUGCCGCUGGCCGUCCCCUGCCUCCCUCGGAACCUCCGUGGAGUUUUCCCAGGCCCCCCAGCCUCCAGACACAGCCCCCUCAGAGAGGCCCCUCGUGGCAGUCUUCACAUUGCAGAGGACCUGGCCUUCCUCUGGGGCCACCUGCAGGGUCCACCCUCUUGGGGACUCCAUCUCGCGCCUGUGACCUAAAACAGGAGAGAAAAGGGUGGGGCCCCAAGUGUCAAGAAGGUGGAGACUCCAGUUUGUGAGGAACACGAUGGACCCGUCUCCAUUCCUGAAGGCUGGAGGACACCGCCUGACCCAAACACAGCUAUGUCUGCCUCACCCACUCCACCCUGGCCGGAUCCCUGGGUAGUCCCCUCCACACAGUAUGGGCAGCAUGUCCAGGCUGGAGGAUCUCAGUGGCUGUUACCCAGGCAAUGUCCACACCAGGCCUCUGUGCAGGUCAGACCAGGUGGUCCAAGGCAUGGGGUGGCUGUGCAGCCCAGAUCCCUGAGAGAGAGAGAGGCCAAGGGUGGGAGGGCCUCCUUGGUCCUAAGGCCAUGCCUGCCUGUCCAGCCGAUCCUUCCCACAGCGAAGUCUCUACAGCGAGCAAAACCCAUCCUCAUUUGCCCUGAGCACCUUAUCAUCCUUGUGUAGUCUCCAGCCCCGCUGCCAAGGCAGGGCAGGGACAAGUGUGUAGAUGGUGCCAUACCUGGAGGUGGGGCCUGGAAGGGGCCCAGGGGAGCCUCUUGCUCCUCUCCCUCCUCUGUCCUGGGGACCAGCUCCUCUUGGGGCCUGGGGGCUGGCACCUGGGGACAGGAAGGCAGCAGGGCAGGGUGAGGUGUUCAGCCUAGCAGAUCUGAGAAAACAAGGGGCAUGCGGUGGCAUGACCCACCCUUCUCUGCACCUUCAGUUCUCAGGACACAAUGCGGAGCACACAGGUGUGGACUGGAGAUCUCUGACUCUGCCGUCCAAGCCAAGACCACCAAACUCCCACCUGUCACCAUCACUUUCCCACAGCCCCCAGGCCCUCUCAGCCACCAACCCACGACUGGCCCCAGUGCUGGCUCAGCUGGGGUCGUGAGCAGGGGAAGCACACCCAGCCCCCAGACCAGCCCCCACUCAUCUGGAGUCCUGGCCCAGCUGACUCCUGCUGUAGCCGCUCUGCCAGGGCAGUGGCCUCCUCAGGGCUGCCUAGCCACUGCUCCUGCGUGUAGGCCUGGAUCUCUGGGAGCAGUGUGCCCAAUAACUGCUCCAGCACCAAGAGCUCCAGCAUCUGCUCCUUGGAGCAGGCCUCAGGCAUCAGCCACUGGCAACACAGCUCACGCAGCUGAGCCAGGGCCCCUCGGGGCCCUGCUGCCUUCUCAUAGCAGAACCCCCAGAAGCACUGGCCAGGGCUCUUGGAGCUGGGCUCACCCACCAUCAGUUCCAGUGGACUCGGGAAGACCUGGGGGGCCAGGGCUGAUGCCUCACUCAUCUGGGCAGCCAUCCUGCCCCUUUCCUGGGAGGGGAGUGCAGCUGCAUGGCCCAGGGUACUUUCUCUGCAGCUGGAAACACAAAGGUGAGCCUGUGAGCACAGCAAGGCCACGAAGGUCCCCUCCUUGGGACCACCUGAGACUGAGUAAAAAUGGAAGAAUGGGGGUAUCGGCGUUUCUGGCCCCCAGUGUCAGCAUCUUUGCCCACCUGUGUGUCCAGGUGCCUGAGGGACACACUGAGGUGCCAUGGCUGCUUGUACCAUCCCUUCCCCCCGCCUCCCCGCUUUUCUUGAGGGUCCCUGCCCUGCCCUGUCUCCUUGGCACCCUUCAUCCCACACACAGAACAACUAAGACAGAGACUGUGAACAGGACACCCAGAGUCAGACCAGCAGAUGGGUCCUGUUUGUCCCCUCCAGGAAGUGUUUUAAAAAUUUAAGUUAGGCCAAGUGCGGUGGCUGACGGCUGUAGUCCUAGCACUUUGGGAGGCCGAGGUGGGUGGAUCACGAGGUCAGCAAUUCCAAGACCAGCCUGGCCAACAUGGUGAAACCCCGUCUCUACUAAAAAUACAAAAAUUAGCCAGGCGUGGUGGCAGGCGCCUGUAAUCCCAGCUACUCGGGAGGCUGAGGCAGAGAACUGCUUGAACCCGGGAGGUGGAGGUUGCAGUGAGCCGAGAUCGCGCCACUGCACUCCAGCCUGGGUGACAAAGUGAGACUCUGUCUCAAAAAAAAAAAAAAGAGAAUAAAUACUGAUACAUACUACAAGAUGGAUGAAUCUUGAAAAUAUUAUGCUAAGUGUAAAUGAAAAAAUUCAGACACAAAAGACUUCAUAUUAUGUUAUUCCAUUUAUGUGAAAUGUCCAGAACAGAUAAGUCUGUAAGAGACAGAAAGUAGAUCAGCGGUUGCCAGGAUCUGCAGGGAAGAGAGAAAUGGGAGAUACAGCCGUGGGAGUGAUGAAAAUAUUCUGGAAUUAGUGGUGAUGACUGUGCAACACUGAAUAUACCAAAAACCACUGAAUUACACACUUUAAAAGGAUGAAUUGUAUGGUAUUUAUGUUUUUUAAAAAAGUUACCACCCAAUCCCAAAAGCUUAAAAACUGUAUGACUCCAUUUCUUUUUCUUUUUCUUUUUUUUUUUCUUUUGACAGGGUCUGGCUCUGUCAUCCAGGCUAGGGUGCAGUGGUGCAAUCUCAUCUCCCAGGCUCAAGCCAUCUUCCCACCUCAGCCUCCGAAGGAGCUGGGACAUCAAGUGCGUGCCACCAUACCCAGCUAAUUUUUUUAUUUUUUAUUUUUCUAUUUUUGAGACGGAGUUUCGCUCUUUCACCCAGGCUGGAAUGAAGUGGCGCAAUCUCGGCUCACUGCAACCUCUGCCCCCAGGAUUCAAGCGAUUCUCCUGCCUCAGCCUCCCCAGUAGCUGGGAUUACAGAUGCCUGCCAUCAGGCCUGGCUUAUUUUAUUUUAUUUUAUUUUAUUUUUUAGUAGAGAUGGGGUUUCACCAUGUUGGCCAGGCUGGUCCCGAACUCUUUUUUUUUUUUUUUUUUUUUUUUUUUUUUUUUGAGAAGAGUCUUGCUCUGUCGCCCAGGCUGGAGUCCAGUGGCGCUAUCCUGGCUCACUGCAAGCUCUGCCUCCCGGGUUCAUACCAUUCUCCUGCCUCAGCCUCCCAAGUAGCUGGGACUACAGGCGCCUGCCACCAUGCCCGGCUAAUUUUUUUAUAUUUUUGGUAGAGCCGGGGUUUCACCGUGUUAGCCAGGAUGGUCUCGAUCUCCUGACCUCGUGAUCCGCCCGCCUCAGCCUCCCAAAGUGCUGGGAUUACAGGCGUGAGCCACGGCACCCGGCCGGUGGGCCGGUCCUGAACUCUUGACCUCAGAUGGUCCACCCGCCUCGGCCUCCCAAAGUGCUAGUAUUACAGGCGCGAGACACCUCGCCCAGCCUAUGCAACAUUCGUAAAAUGACAAAAUGGUAGAAAUGAGAACAGAUUACUAGUUGACAAAAAGAGGUUAACGGGGAGCAGAGGUAGGAGGGAAGGGUAUGCGGCUCUGUAAGGGCAACACGGGGAUCCUUCGUGAUGGAAAUAUUCUGCAUCUCAGUUGUGAUAUUGUACUCUAGUUUUUCUUUCUCUUCUCUUUUUUUGAGACAGAGUCUCGCUCUGUUGCCCAGGUUGGAGUGCAGUGGCGUGAUGUGGGCUCACCGCGACCUCCGCCUCCUGGGUACAAGCGAUUCUCCUGCCUGAGACUCCCGAGUAGCUGGGAUUACAGGCACCAGCCUCCACACCCGCCUAAUUUUUGUGUUUUCAGUACAGAUGGGGUUUCACCAUGUUGCUCAGGCUGGUCUUUAACUCCUGAGCUCAAGGGAUCCACCCGCCUUGGCCUCCCAAAGUGCUGGGAUUACAGACAUGAGCCACCGCACCUGGCCUCUAGUUUUUCAAGAUGCCACCUUUAGGGGAAUUGGGUAAAGCGUACAUAGGGUAUGCAUUACUUGUUACUGCAUGUGAAUUUAUAAUUACCUCAAAUCAAAAGUUAAAUUUUAAAAAAACGACAUCUGAUUUCAAUAAAAAUCCAUAUUUGUGUAUUGAAGUAUCAGAAA